rfam:Dipodomys ordii contig_80620, whole genome shotgun sequence.
GGGAAUGUAGCUCAGUGGUAGAGCGAAUGCUUUACACGCAUGAGGUCCUGGGUUCGAUUCCCAGCAUCCCA